GUGGGAGAGAGGGAGAGAUGGGGAGAGAGAGGGAGUGGGAGAUAGGGAGAGAUGGGGAGAGAGAGGGAGUGGGAGAGAGAGGGAGUGAGAGAUGGGGAGAGGGAGGGAGUGGGAGAGAGGGAGAGAUGGGGAGAUAGAGGGAGUGGGAGAGAGGGAGAGAUGGGGAGAGAGAGGGAGGGGAGAGAGGGAAGAGAUGGGGAGAGAGAGGGAGUAGGAGAAAAUGAGAGAUGGGGAGAGAGAGGGAGUGGGAGAAAAGGAGAGAUGGGGAGAGAGAGGGAGUGGGAGAAAAUGAGAGAUGGGGAGAGAGAGGGAGUGGGAGAAAGUGAGAGAUGGGGAGAGAGAGGGAGGGGAGAAAAGGGAGAGAUGGGGAUAGAGAGGGAGUGGGAGAAAAUGAGAGAUGGGGAGAGAGAGGGAGUGGGAGAGAGGGAGAGAUGGGGAUAGAGAGGGAAUGGGAGAAAGUGAGAGAUGUGGAGAGAGAGGGAGUGGGAGAAAGUGAGAGAUGGGGAGAGAGAGGGAGUGGGAGAAAGUGAGAGAUUGGGAGAGAGAGGGA
ensembl:lncRNA